rnacentral:rRNA from 1 species
UACGUAGGCGGAAAAUUAAGUCAGUAGUGAAAUCCUGCAGCUUAACUGUAGAACUGUUAUUGAUACUGGUUUUCUUGAAUAUAGUUGAGGUAGGCGGAAUGUGUAAUGUAGCGGUGAAAUGCUUAGAUAUUACACAGAACACCGAUUGCGAGGGCAGCUUACUAAGCUAUGAUUGACGCUGAGGUACGAAAGCGUGGGGAGCGAACAGGAUUAGAUACCCUGUAGUCC